rnacentral:rRNA from 1 species
AGGACGAACGCUGGCGGCGUGCUUAACACAUGCAAGUCGAGCGGAAAGGCCCUUCGGGGUACUCGAGCGGCGAACGGGCGAGUAACACGUGAGUAACCUGCCCCUAGCUCUGGGAUAGCUCCGGGAAACCGGGAUUAAUACCAGAUACGACCACUUUAGACAUCUGUCGUGGUGGAAAGGAUUCCGGCUAGGGAUGGGCUCGCGGCCUAUCAGCUUGUUGGUGGGGUAACGGCCUACCAAGGCGACGACGGGUA